AGAGUUUGAUCCUGGCUCAGGAUGAACGCUGGCGGCGUGCUUAACACAUGCAAGUCGAACGAACCUUCGGGUUAGUGGCGGACGGGUGAGUAACGCGUGAGAAUCUGCCCUCAGGAGGGGGAUAACGGCUGGAAACGGCCGCUAAUACCCCAUAUGCCGAGAGGUGAAAUGAAUUUCGCCUGAGGAUGAGCUCGCGUCUGAUUAGCUAGUUGGUGUGGUAAAGGCUCACCAAGGCAUCGAUCAGUAGCUGGUCUGAGAGGAUGAUCAGCCACACUGGGACUGAGACACGGCCCAGACUCCUACGGGAGGCAGCAGUGGGGAAUUUUCCGCAAUGGGCGCAAGCCUGACGGAGCAACGCCGCGCGAGGGAUGAAGGCCUCUGGGCUGUAAACCUCUUUUAUCAAGGAAGAAGAUCUGACGGUACUUGAUGAAUAAGCCACGGCUAAUUCCGUGCCAGCAGCCGCGGUAAUACGGGAGUGGCAAGCGUUAUCCGGAAUUAUUGGGCGUAAAGCGUCCGCAGGCGGUCUUGAAAGUCUGUUGUUAAAGCGUGGAGCUCAACUCCAUUUCAGCAAUGGAAACUAGAAGACUAGAGUGUGGUAGGGGCAGAGGGAAUUCCCGGUGUAGCGGUGAAAUGCGUAGAUAUCGGGAAGAACACCAGUGGCGAAGGCGCUCUGCUGGGCCAUAACUGACGCUCAUGGACGAAAGCCAGGGGAGCGAAAGGGAUUAGAUACCCCUGUAGUCCUGGCCGUAAACGAUGAACACUAGGUGUCGGGGGAAUCGACCCCCUCGGUGUCGUAGCCAACGCGUUAAGUGUUCCGCCUGGGGAGUACGCACGCAAGUGUGAAACUCAAAGGAAUUGACGGGGGCCCGCACAAGCGGUGGAGUAUGUGGUUUAAUUCGAUGCAACGCGAAGAACCUUACCAGGGUUUGACAUCCUGCGAAUCCCUUGGAAACUUGGGAGUGCCUUCGGGAGCGCAGUGACAGGUGGUGCAUGGCUGUCGUCAGCUCGUGUCGUGAGAUGUUGGGUUAAGUCCCGCAACGAGCGCAACCCACGUCUUUAGUUGCCAGCAUUAAGUUGGGCACUCUAGAGAGACUGCCGGUGAUAAACCGGAGGAAGGUGUGGAUGACGUCAAGUCAUCAUGCCCCUUACAUCCUGGGCUACACACGUACUACAAUGCUACGGACAAAGGGCAGCAAACUCGCGAGAGCUAGCAAAUCCCAUAAACCGUGGCUCAGUUCAGAUCGUAGGCUGCAACUCGCCUACGUGAAGGAGGAAUCGCUAGUAAUCGCAGGUCAGCAUACUGCGGUGAAUACGUUCCCGGGCCUUGUACACACCGCCCGUCACACCAUGGAAGUUGGCCACGCCCGAAGUCGUUACUCCAACCCGCAAGGGAGGAGGAUGCCGAAGGUGGGGCUGAUGACUGGGGUGAAGUCGUAACAAGGUA
rnacentral:rRNA from 1 species